UACGAAGGGGGCGAGCGUUGUUCGGAAUUACUGGGCGUAAAGGGCGCGCAGGCGGCCUUAGAAGUCAGAUGUGAAAGCCCCGGGCUCAACCUGGGAAUGGCAUUUGAUACUCUGAGGCUGGAGUACGGGAGAGGAGAGUGGAAUUCCCAGUGUAGAGGUGAAAUUCGUAGAUAUUGGGAAGAACACCGGUGGCGAAGGCGGCUCACUGGCUCAUUUCUGACGCUCAGGCGCGACAGCGUGGGGAUCAAACAGA
rnacentral:rRNA from 1 species